rnacentral:rRNA from 1 species
CGGAGGGGGCUAGCGUUGUUCGGAAUUACUGGGCGUAAAGCGUGCGUAGGCGGCCUUUCAAGUUGGGUGUGAAAGCCCGGGGCUUAACCCCGGAAAUGCGCCCAAGACUGUUUGGCUAGAAACCGGGAGAGGUGAGUGGAACUCCCAGUGUAGAGGUGAAAUUCGUAGAUAUUGGGAAGAACACCAGUGGCGAAGGCGGCUCACUGGACCGGUACUGACGCUGAGGCACGAAAGCGUGGGGAGCAAACAGGAUUAGAUACCCUGGUAGUCCACGCCGUAAACUAUGAGAGCUAGACGUUGGGGGGCUUGCCCCUCUGUGUCGCAGCUAACGCGUGAAGCUCUCCGCCUGGGGAGUACGGCCGCAAGGUUA